rnacentral:rRNA from 1 species
GGAGUCCACCAUACCACCCUCAACAGACCUGAUUUUGCCCGAUCUCAGAAGCUAAGCAGGAUCAGGCCUGGCUAGUACUUGGAUAAGAGAAAGAAUCACGUGAGAACCAGUGACCGUUUUAA